UUGACAGAACUGAAGAAUAGUCUUCUCUUGAGCUGCUGUAUAGAUACAUCCGGACUGUAAAACAGUCACAGUGGCUGAGAAAGUUUCCUUCCACAGUCCUGCCAGUGGACCUCAAGCUUGAAAUAGAAGGACCACCUCCAAGGGCGAGAGAGGAAUUAAUUCUUCAUAGCCAUUCAGCAUUUGGCCUCU
ensembl:misc_RNA